rnacentral:rRNA from 1 species
UACGUAGGGUGCAAGCGUUGUCCGGAAUUAUUGGGCGUAAAGAGCUCGUAGGCGGUUUGUCGCGUCGAAUGUGAAAACCCGGGGCUCAACCCCGGGCCUGCAUUCGAUACGGGCAGACUAGAGUUCGGUAGGGGAGACGUGGAAUUCCUGGUGUAGCGGUGAAAUGCGCAGAUAUCAGGAGGAACACCGGUGGCGAAGGCGGGUCUCUGGGCUGAUAUUGACGCUGAGGAGCGAAAGCGUGGGAGCGAACAGG